rnacentral:tRNA from 1 species
UGCUAUGGCUCAGUCGGUAGAGCGUCGCCUUGGUAAGGCGGAGGUCACGGGUUCAAGUCCCGUUAGCA